AGAAAGAUAAAUGUUGAUGUUCAGACGCUUUUCUACUUUUUAUUCAGUCCUGAUUGCCAGUAUUCAUGUUUUCAGCAUUCAAUUAAAAAGCUUGGGAUCAAGAAACAGUUACACUUUUAAGCAAAAUGAUCUACAGAGUCUGACACACAGGGACUACCAGGUAACUAACUACCAGGUGGUCAUGCCCCACACCUUUAAUCCCAGCACUCUGGGGGCAGAAGCAGGCAAUCUCUGAAUUCAAGGUGAGCCUAGUCUACAGAACCAGUUCCAGGAUGCAUGGAGAAGCUGUCUGCCAAAACAAAAACAAACAAAACAAAACCAACAACAACAAGAACAACAAAAACCACUCUAAUAAUCUCUCUCAAUACCCCAUCUCUCCCUCUUUUCAAGAAGCUGAAUAGCCUGGCACUGUAAAUAACAGAUUAAAUUUCUGAAAUGGUUAAGUCCGAGUUAUAGAACUAAUUUAAACCUGAGCAUCUCAAAAAGAAAAAACUUCAUGAAACUCAUCUGUCCUACAUAAGGGUAGGACUUAGUUUCUUCCUUUUCAUCAUUUCUUUAGACAAAAGACAAGUCUGCAUUAAAUUAGUGAGCUGUGCCCAUGUCCUCAGCCAAGACGGAGAUAUUUCUAAAUCUACCACUGACUUUUGAAACAUGGGGAGCCUUAUUACAAGACUAUUUUCAGUUAACUUUAUAUCCGUG
rnacentral:lncRNA from 1 species